CUUCCUCUGUUGGCAAUGGAUUCUUCUUCUUCCCAUGCCAUUGUGAGCAAGCAAAAUUCCACGAACAACCUUUCUUCAAUGGCGUCUCUCUCUGUCAAAUCAACAAUAGUUCAUCUUCAGCUUGCUCUCCUUCUCUUAUUGACGGCUUCAUUUUGCAUGAUUGAGGAGGUUCGAGGGAAACCAGGACAGAGAGAUUUCGAUUAUUUCAUGUUGGCUCUGCAAUGGCCUGGCACUUACUGCCAGCGCACUUGCCAUUGCUGCUCCUCUAAUGCUUGCUGUCGAGGUUCAAAUGCUCCAACUGAAUUUACAAUCCAUGGGCUGUGGCCUGACUAUAAUGAUGGAACUUGGCCUGCCUGUUGUAGGCGAUUGGAUUUUGAUGAAAAAGAGAUCUCAACGUUGCUUGAUGGUCUACAAAAGUAUUGGCCAUCCUUAAGUUGUGGUUCAUCAUCAACUUGUCAUGGUACAAAAGGAUCAUUUUGGGCACAUGAGAAAGUGCUGAAUGAAGCGGGAUAUAUUCCUUCAAAUACUGAAAAAUAUCCUCUUGGAGGUAUUGUCUCUACCAUUGAGAAUGCUUUCCAUACAACCCCAUCAUUGAUUUGUCCAAGAGAUGCAGUAGAGGAACUCCGUUUGUGCUUCUAUAAGGAUUUCAAGCCACGGGACUGUGUAGUUGGAUCAAUAGUUCAAGACAUGUAUUCCUCAAGAAGCUCAUGUCCAAAGUACGUUAGCCUGCCAUUAUAUUUUUCAUCAGGCCUUGAUGUCGCAGAAACUGCAAUCCCAUGGGUACCUGAUAAUGAAGCCAUGUGAGAUGUUGGCACAUGCGUGUUGUACACUUACCCAAUAGUUGAUACAUGCUGUCAUUAUUCACAACAUAUGAUGCCUCUCUACAAGUAUUUGUUGGGCACCUUGUGUGGUAGUUGACUUUCCCUUAACAAAGAUGUGCAUUAGGGCAUUUGAUAAAGAAGAACACCUUCUCCCACCCCCCACCCGUUUUGAGGGCUUAGAACAAAAUCCAGAUGAAUGAUCCCACUAGCAAGAACCACCAACCAUAUGGUAAUAUGUGUUUUCCUUUUGAUAUGAAUGCAUCUGAUGUCUGAUUGUGAGGGCUCGUAUUGCCUUAUUACUUCUGUUCCUGGUAUGGGCAGGCAUGGAAGUGGUUAUGUUAGUUGUGAGAAGUGAAACGCUAAUCAUUGCAUAGAUCAUUGGAAUUGGUUUUAUAAUUAAGUUGCUGCCUAUUGGAGUGCAUUACCAAACAUGCAGGUUGAUUUUUCGGCCCCUUCUCAUCCUAUCCUAAGUGAAGGAGAAAUAGAGGUUGAAGAAAUGAAAGCAUGUCAACAAACAAGUAAGUGAAAUAACCAAGUGAUAAGAGAGCAGAGAGUGCUUUCAACAGUGGGAAUAGAUACAAGAACUGUUCAUUAGACCAUUUUGUGCUUGUGUUUAAGCCUCCUGGAAAGCUUAUUUUAGCAUUCAUAAAUCGAGUCAAGUGUGACAUUUUGGUGAGAGAAGAUUUCUUGGAAACCGAUCAUAAAGCUGUAAAUAUUAGAAAAGAAAUGAUGCUGGGACGGCAAGUUCUGAACAAAUCCCAUAUCAAGUUUAACUGAUCAAUAUGCAAGCCUACACUAAACCUAGCCACAGGAGAAAAAAAAAAUGAAAAUUUUGUGUGUAUUGGUCUCAAAAUAGCCAUAGAAAGCACAAAUGUCCAACCUUAAGGGUAGUAAUGAUUGCUGAUGAAUAGAUUUCUGCAAAGUUUAAUCCUUAAAAAUCUUGGGAUUCGAAGUCUAGUCUAGCAACAUCUAACACAACAUUUGGCAUGUCCCUCAUCAGCAGAUCCUAAGUUAAUCAUUUGAGCAAAGAAUUCUGCUUUCAACAAGAUAUUCACCACCUGGAAAAGAAUUGACUGUCAAAUGUUAAAGAAGAUAAAAAUGAAACUAACAAAUGCAUAAAACCUGCCACAGCAUUCCUUCCCCUGCAAUUUAUUUUUCUAAAA